rnacentral:rRNA from 1 species
GGGUUAGUAGGUUGGUCAUGCCUCUGGUAUGUACUGAUCUCACUGAUUCCUCCCUCUUGACGAACUGUAAUGUCAUUAAUUUGGUGUUGCAGGAAAUCGGGACUGGUUUUACUUUGAAAAUUAGAGUGUUUAAAGCAGGCUUAGGCUUGAAUACAUUAGCAUGGAAUAAUGAAAUAGGACGUUUGAUCCUAUUUUGUUGGUUUCUAGGAUCGACGUAAUGAU